UACGUAGGGUGCGAGCGUUUAAUCGGAAUUACUGGGCGUAAAGCGUGCGCAGGCGGUUUUGUAAGCCAGAUGUGAAAGCCCCGGGCUUAACCUGGGAAUGGCAUUUGGGACUGCAAGGCUGGAGUACGGCAGAGGGAGGUGGAAUCCAGGUGUAGCAAGUGAAAUGCGUAGAUAUCUGGAGGAACACCGAUGGCGAAGGCAGCCUCCUGGGCUAGUACUGACGCUCAUGCACGAAAGCGUGGGGAGCAAAC
rnacentral:rRNA from 1 species